rnacentral:misc_RNA from 1 species
GAGAAUCCAAAUUUUAAUGUUUUCCGCUGAUCCUGAUCUGCAAGUGAUGUAGCAUUUCUAAGUUCAGUAGAAACAGGAGCCUCGGCUGCUCUUUCUUGUUGCUCCAGCAUCUGCUGCUGCUUCUUACGGGCAUCCGCAAUUUGAGCAAAUUUUGCCAUCUCUCUCUCUUCACGUUGCUGUUCCCGCUUGUUUCUGUCAUCUCGGC